rnacentral:lncRNA from 1 species
UUCUCUCAUCUCUUGUCUCUGCAAACUUAUUAAGUGAACAGGGAAUUUGCACCAACGUUACAAGGCUCCUGAGCAUCACAGCCUGGCCACAGGUAUGAGCAGCAUUCCAGGCUCGUAUGUGGGAGCAGAAUCAUCAAGCAGGAGACUUUAAGAAGGGAAAUGACUCCAGAAUGACGGGAGGCUGUCACAAUGGAAUUGUGAAGAUACACUAACGCAUGAGCUGACUAAGGAAAAGAGUAUUAUCUAUUUGAAGAGGCUUAUGUAGUUGCACAGGCUGUUCUCUAAUGAGUGAAGAUAUAAACAGGUAUGUAUAUACAAAGGAAAAAUGACUAGGAACAGAAAAAGGAUGGGAACUCAGGAGUAAGGUGAUUCAUUUGGGAGCAGUAACUAUCCAUGGAGCUCUAUUCUUCUGCUGGGAAGCAGGAUUCCUCCAUGGGAAGCAAGAUGAAGAAGAAAAAUUGCAGUGUCCACCAGACCACAGAAGAUGUGUCCUCAAACAGUGUCACUAUACAAGGAGGCUGAUUGAGGUGUUAAGGUGUAUCAGUCAGACAGGUAAAAUUUCCUAGUUUCAUGUACUCCCAUGGGUAUUAACUAGGAUCCUGACAGGGUCUGCAAUCCUGGUCAUACUCCAGGCCACAUGGAGAAAGAGAUUAGCAAAGGAUGGACAGGUUAUUAGAGCCACAACCAAAUAAGUUAGCGGGAGUCCCAUCUCCAGUCAGGUACAAGAGUGCAAAUCAGGGUCUGGGGAAGUCAGUUACUGGGCUGGGAAAUUAUAGCAUGAGAUAUUGAGAAUAGGUGGUCAGUGGGUGUAUACGGAUAUAGGGUAGUGGAGAACGAAGGAAAAUCCCCACUAAGAACAAGCGAUGCCAACCUUAAGCAGC